rnacentral:rRNA from 1 species
UACGUAGGGUGCAAGCGUUAAUCGGAAUUACUGGGCGUAAAGCGCGCGUAGGCGGACCCACAAGUCGGGGGUGAAAGCCCGAGGCUCAACCUCGGAACUGCCUUCGAUACUGCGGGUCUCGAGUCCGGGAGAGGUGAGUGGAAUUCCUAGUGUAGAGGUGAAAUUCGUAGAUAUUAGGAAGAACACCAGUGGCGAAGGCGGCUCACUGGCCCGGUACUGACGCUGAGGUGCGAAAGCGUGGGGAGCAAACAGG